CCAUACUGUGAAUAAUAUACCGGUUCUCGUUAGAUCACCGAAGUUAAAGCAUCGUGGGCGCGGUCAGUACUUGGGUGGGUGACCACCAGAGA